AGGUCUCUACUUGAGUAUAAUUGGGUAUUUGGGACAUAAAACCUCUCAAUCUUUUCCCUCUGAAUGAAUGAACAUGAGACAAGAUCUUAUACGGGGCAUGAUUUAGAAUCCUCUGCUCCUUUGCAAUUGAUGCUUAGUCCUGCUGUUGCCUUGUAUCCUUUGCUUUUAACUUAUGCACAAUUUUUUUUGUUAUUCAUUCAUUUUUUUUUAACUUUCAGUAUUCCUUUUUUGAAGAUU
rnacentral:misc_RNA from 1 species